GUUCUCACCACGAAAGGGAUUGAUGACAUGGCACUCAAGUAUUUUGUGGAAGCGGGUGCUAUUGCUGUUAGGCGAGUUAAGAAGGAUGACAUGCGCCAUGUCGCCAAGGCUACUGGAGCAACCAUGGUUUCGACAUUUGCUGACAUGGAGGGGGAGGAAACCUUCGAGCCAUCACAUCUUGGAUAUGCUGAUGAGGUCGUAGAGGAAAGAAUUGCUGAUGAUGAUGUCGUUAUGAUAAAGGGAUCUAAAAC
rnacentral:misc_RNA from 1 species